AAGGAAAGUCCAAUACUAAUUAGGUAUAUAAGCUAAAAUAAGCAAUAUAAAAAUAUAAGGAAUUUAACAGAAACUAAUAAUUAUUAAUUAAAUAUGUAAUUAAAAAAUUAUUUAAUUAAUAAUUGCGAACACUACCCCUAUAUUUAGUACUAAUUUAGAAUUAUAAUAAAAAAAAAAUCUUUUUUAACAGAAACCGGCUUAA
rnacentral:RNase_P_RNA from 1 species